UGGGGAAUAUUGCACAAUGGGCGAAAGCCUGAUGCAGCGACGCCGCGUGCGGGAUGAAGGCCUUCGGGUUGUAAACCGCUUUUGAUUGGGGAGCAAGCGAGAGUGAGUGUACCUUUCGAAUAAGCACCGGCUAACUACGUGCCAGCAGCCGCGGUAAUACGUAGGGUGCAAGCGUUAUCCGGAAUUAUUGGGCGUAAAGAGCUCGUAGGCGGUUUGUCGCGUCUGGUGUGAAAGUCCAUCGCUUAACGGUGGAUCUGCGCCGGGUACGGGCAGGCUAGAGUGCGACAGGGGAGACUGGAAUUCCCGGUGUAACGGUGGAAUGUGUAGAUAUCGGGAAGAACACCAAUGGCGAAGGCAGGUCUCUGGGUCGUCACUGACGCUGAGGAGCGAAAGCGUGGGGAGCGAACAGGAUUAGAUACCCUGGUAGUCCACGCCGUAAACGGUGGAUGCUGGAUGUGGGGCCCAUUCCACGGGUUCCGUGU
rnacentral:rRNA from 1 species